rnacentral:rRNA from 1 species
UACGGGGGGGGCAAGCGUUGUUCGGAAUUACUGGGCGUAAAGGGCUCGUAGGUGGCCAACUAAGUCAUACGUGAAAUCCCUCAGCUUAACUGGGGAACUGCGUCUGAUACUGGAUGGCUUGAGUUUGGGAGAGGGAUGCGGAAUUCCAGGUGUAGCGGUGAAAUGCGUAGAUAUCUGGAGGAACACCGGUGGCGAAGGCGGCAUCCUGGACCAAUACUGACACUGAGGAGCGAAAGCGUGGGGAGCGAACAGG